rnacentral:lncRNA from 10 species
CUCAGGGCUGGCUGGGACCGGGCAGCAGAGUCUGAAACACGUCCUUGGAUUGGAUGCUAGAACCAGCGUUGAAUGUAACUUUCUUUCCGAUUGGUUAGACAGGUGCUUGGAGGGGUUGUAUCGGACCUAAGAGUAGAGGUUGAUUCCACUCUCCCACCACGCACUUUUCGUAUCAUCCUAGAUCUGGAUGCCCUUCAUGGAACCUAAAAACCAGCGAGUCCCGGAAAGGCCUCAGGCAAUUGCCAAGCCGAUGGCCUUCUGCCACUUAGUUAAUGUGCACCUGGCAGCUUAGGUGGCCGCGGAGAAAGCAACUUUGGCUGCACCAAGGUCCGGCACAAGUCUGGAGAAGCUUCAGCCAGUUCCAGUGAGUUGGGAUAAAUGAAACGUGGAUCUACCAUAGACGUCUGUCCGUCUUACUGGAUAAGCGAGCACCUUUACCGGGGAAGUUAGAUGGCUGGAGUCAGCUGGCAAAUACAGAAGCAGGAAACAUUACACUGAAGCUCAGAAAAUAAUAUCCCCAAAUGAAGGCAUCAGAAAUAAAAGUUCUUCUCUGACCUUCUUUCUCUCAAGACAUUGUAUUAUGAAAAAUUUCCAGCAUACAGAAAAGUUGAAGAACACCCACAUGCCUGCUACUCAGAUUCUACAAUAAACAUUUGCUAUAUUUGUUUUACCUACAUAUCUAGUCAUCCAUCCAUCCAUUCAUAUUAUUUUUAAUGCACGUCUUAUUUUUUAAUGCACUGUCAACUACAGACAUCAGUACUCUUCACCUCCAAACAUUUCAGCAACAUAUCAUUAACGAUAGUCAAAAAUUUGUUUAGAGUUCCUUUUGUUUUAAAUAAAAUUUAUAAAGAAUGAAAUGUGUAAUUCUUAAGUGUACUAUUCUUUGAGUUUUCACAAAUGCAUAGACCUAUGUAACCUAAAGUCCUAUGAAGAUGUAGAAUAUCCCAUCCCCCUAGGAAGUUCCCUCAUGGCCCUUCCAAAUAAUCUCUGCUUACUCUGGUUUUCAAGUAACCACUGUUUUGCCU